UAAAGUUAUAUUCCUGGUCAAAUUCAUCAAAACAGAUUGUCAAAUUAACGCCUUAUUGUUAUCAAAUGCAUUAUUUAACAAGUAUUGACAAAGUUUUCCAACUUAGAAACGCUCUCCGUAACAUUUCUGACCAUUCUAAAAAAUGCAUUUUCUUAUUUGACUGGGUUAGUCAAAUAAGAUUUAUAUUUUGGCGGGAAGCCCUUCGAUUAUUUCCGUAAAUGUUCGGAUCUGAGUCACGUGAUAUGAUUUACCAAACCAAAAUAAUGGCGGACAAUACGAAAGGUGUUUUAUACGAGAAAUAAAUUUUGAGAUUGGAAAAGGAAAAAGCGAAAAGUGGGAAGAAACUGUGAUUUAAUUCAAUCAAGGAUAUACUCCGGUAGUGAUUCAAAGCGAUGAAAAGUUCUAAAAAGGGUAAUUAAAACCAAAAGCGACCGUGAAGUUGUUAUCUGAUUGACAGAAAUAAGUCAAUUUCAUCAUCAUCAUGUGUUGCAAUACCACUACCAGGGACAUCAAAGAUGACCUGGACUUCAGUGCAUAUGCAGAGGAGAGUAAGUACACCAUUUUUGUCGAAAGUGACAGGUAGCACUAAAGAAAGCCAAUGAAAUCCUUUUGGAGUUGAAUUGAGACACAACCAUUCAUUUCUGGUUUAGUUAUAAAACUGCUACAGACUAUAAACUAUUCAUGAUGAUGGAAUACACCAAUGCCUAGUACAAUCAUGGCCCAUUAGAAACAAUAACAAACCAUGGCUGCAAAGGAAAUAAGAUGCACAUAGUCUGAAAGAUC